GUUAUGCCUGACUAUAAAAGGGGCUGCUUGUCCCCCUCCUCACUAGCUCUCUUCUCUCCUCUGCUCUCUUGCCCUCUUCCCCUUUGUCCCUUCUCUCCCCAGUUCCCUUUCCCCUUCCCUCCACAUGCUCAUGGCCAGCCUUUUCUUCUCCCCUCUUCUAUUCUCUCAUUAAACCUCUCCAUGUGGAACCAUGUUGGCUUGCUUGGUGUGGUCUGAUGAGAGCCAAGGUUUAAACCCCAAAAGUUCAGUUUCAGUUUGAAAGAAGCAGCUAGGACCCUGACACCACAGCUUCCGUGAGAAAUGGACAGUGUCUGCUAGAAGCACAGUAUGUGACACAGAGUAUGUGGCUAAAAUAGUAGCCUCUAUUGAAAGGGCCAUUCUCUGUGUUCUGCCUGUUGCCAAAACCAUCAACACAGACUCAUCAACUCAGGUCGGCCAUUUUCACGAGAAUCUCCCACAGUAUUAUUCAUAGCAGCUCAGGAGCUCAUCUUUGAUUCAAAAAAUAAGCUGGACAUUGUGGUAUGCAACUGGGAGCCGAAGCUGGAGGAUUGUAUGUUUCUGGCCAAUUCAGGCUACAUGGAGAAACUGAGACACAAGAAAAAAAAAAAAAACCUAUAGGAGUAGCAAGAGAAAGGGAAGAAAGAGAAGAGGAAGAAAAAGAGAAAGAGGGAUUUUUAGAUCUUUAAGAAGAAAAAAAAAUUUAAUUUGUAAUUAAACCCAGGCCCAGAGGCCUACAUUUGUGAACUUUAAAGGAAGAAGCCAGAUCAAUACUAAAAUUCUUUCAGAAAGUUUCCCAAUUCCUUUCAGGAGGCCGCCAUCCCUUGUAGGAUGAUGUCAUCAUGCAGGUGAAGGCAGGUGCAAGCUAGGACAAGGCCUGUCUUUGGAUGAGAAGGCAGGAGGGGCAGGAGAAAGGUUUUAGAGAGAGGAGAAAACUGGAGCAAAGAAGAGAAGCAGCAGAGAGAACAUGGAGGCAGAUGUUAAGAUUCUUCUCUGUACCUUUACAGUUGUUAUGAAUAUUCUUAAGGGAUGGGUGUGUACAGGGCUUUGUGUAUCUAGGUGGGCAAUUAUAUAUUAUCAAUUGGUUGUAAGUUAAUUGUGUGGAUGUAUUGUACAUUGAACAUUUAACACAUAAAUCUGCUUGUUGGGUUCCA